CCAGCGCCAAGUCGUCAGGCAGUGUUGGUCCGCUGGAGCGGUUGGAAGGCGCCUGCGGAGCCUGUCAAGAACUAUGUCAUGGAUCAAGGAAGGAGAGCUGUCGUUUUGGGAGCGGUUCUGUGCCAAUAUCAUAAAGGCAGGCCCAAUGCCCAAACACAUUGCAUUUAUAAUGGAUGGGAACCGACGCUAUGCCAAGAAGUGCCAAGUGGAGCGGCAGGAGGGCCACUCACAGGGCUUCAACAAACUGGCUGAGACUCUGCGUUGGUGUUUGAACCUGGGCGUCCUAGAGGUGACGGUCUACGCGUUCAGCAUUGAGAACUUCAAACGCUCCAAGAGUGAGGUAGACGGGCUAAUGGAUCUGGCCCGGCAGAAGUUCAGCCGCUUGAUGGAAGAACAGGAGAAACUGCAGAAGCAUGGCGUAUGUAUCCGGGUCCUGGGUGAUCUGCAUUUGUUGCCCUUGGAUCUCCAGGAGCUGAUUGCACAGGCUGUGCAGGCCACCAAGAACUACACCAAGUGUUUCCUGAAUGUCUGUUUUGCUUACACAUCCCGUCAUGAGAUCAGCAAUGCUGUGAGAGAGAUGGCCUGGGGAGUAGAGCAAGGCCUGCUGGAUCCCAGCGAUGUCUCUGAGUCUCUGCUUGAUAAGUGCCUCUAUACCAACCACUCUCCUCAUCCUGACAUCUUGAUACGGACUUCUGGAGAAGUGAGGCUCAGUGACUUCCUCCUCUGGCAGACCUCCCACUCCUGCCUGGUGUUCCAGCCCGUUCUGUGGCCAGAAUACACGUUUUGGAACCUCUGUGAGGCCAUCCUGCAGUUUCAGAUGAACCAUAGCAUGCUUCAGAAGGCCCGAGACAUGUAUGCAGAGGAGCGGAAGAGGCAGCAGCUGGAGAGGGACCAGGCUGCAGUGACAGAACAGCUGCUGCAAGAGGGGCUCCAGGCCAGUGGGGACGCCCAGCUCCGACGGACACGCUUGCACAAACUUUCAGCCAGACGGGAAGAGCGGGUCCAAGGCUUCCUGCAGGCCUUGGAACUCAAGCGGGCUGACUGGCUGGCACGUCUGGGCACUGCAUCAGCCUGAGUGAGGCUGGCCUCCUUUCAUUUUGCCCUGCCCUCUGCCUCCAGGGCCCCACUCCCCUUUUCUUGGUGAAAGGUACCUCCCUCCUGAUGACGAAUUAUGUUUCCUUUGCUUGGCAAGGGAGCCCCAAGAGGCCAGGUCUGCUGGCCAUAGAUAUCUUCGGGCUGCCUGGGACAGUACCCCUGGGGAGGAUUGAGGGUGAGAGUCUCUGACAAGUACACUAAACCCAGCUCUGAUCACGAAUAGGUUUGGAGAACAGAGGGACCCAGCUCUUCUAUCUUUGCCACCUCUACCUGUACUCCCAGCUUCACUUUCUUUUUCCACGCAUAGAGUCUCGGGGAAGAGGUCUCCCCAAAACCUUAGCCCUUUACCCAUCCAUCUUAGUCUUCACAAAAGAUGUGGCCCCACCUUGGAUCUGCUGGUAAAUAGCUAAGAGGCAGCCAGCGUUAUUUAGGCAAGGAAGGGAAUAGAGAGACAGAAAGAAAAUUUGCCCAUCUGCUGCUCCUCCCCCCUUGGCUCUCCACCUGGGAUUUGCUAUUGAAUCUCUACCCCCUCCCACCACGCAGUGCUGAUUGCUCACUCAAAGGCUUAGCGCCCCCAAUGGUGUGCGGAAGCCAGGCGGGUGAUUACAAUCCAAUUACCUAUUGUCGACUCAGCCCACACAAGCUUUUCUCCUCCUUUUGCAGGGCAUGGGGCCAGGCUCCACUCCCCAUUGAGACCGGCCCCCUCCAUGGCUACAGGGUAACAGAAGGGCCUAUAGGCCCUGGUGAAUCUAAUCCAGCACAGGCCACCUUCCUUGGAUCACAUCAGGACCAAGAGCACAGAAACAAGCACUUCUCCCAACUGACUGCCUCCUGCCCUCAGUAUCUCAGACUCUGCUUCCCACCUCUACAGCCUUUGAGGCUUUUCACAGCUUUUGACCUGGCCCCCUAAGUAGGCCGUGAGACAAUUUAUCCUCAGCAUGGCAGAGUCUCAGCUUGUGAGGGCCAAGGUUGCCGAGUAGGGAGAAGAGGGCCAAGUCAAGGGCUGUGUCUUUUCCCUUACCUCUCCCUGCCAGGCCUCACUGCAGAGCUGCUGAGAGGAUUAGUGCCUUUGAAGAGCUGUCUGUCUGAGCAACUCUGUGCUUCAGGUGCCCCAGAGCAGCAAGCACCAGCAGGCUGAAGGGGAUGCUAAAGGAGAUAAAGCCAAGGUGAAGGACGAACCACAGAGAAGAUCUGCAAGGUUAUCUGCUGUAAGUGUAUCUGCUUUUAAAUUUUCGGAU